GUGUUCACCGAGCAGCACACAUAAUAAACUCUGAAUGAGACAAAGACUGGCAUGUCUCCUGCUCAAGGAUGACGUGCAACUUCAUGAAGCAUUAAAAGUAAAA
ensembl:snRNA Gm56275 U6 spliceosomal RNA